rnacentral:rRNA from 1 species
CCCUUAGAUGGCCUGGGCUGCACGCGGGCUACAAUGGUAUAUUCAGCGUGAGUUGUUUACCGAAAGGUAGAUCAAAUCUUCAAAUUAUACCGUACUUGGGAUUGGACAUUGCAAUUGUUGUCCAUGAACGAGGAAUUCCUAGUAAGUGCAUGUCAUUAGCGUGCGCUGAUUACGUCCCUGCCCUUUGUACGCACCGCCCGUCGCUCCUACCGAUUGGGUGCUGGGGUGAACAUUGUGGAGAUUUGAGCUUCGGCUUGGUCAAAGCAAUGUGAAUCUUGCCGCCUAGAGGAAGGAGAAGUCGUAACA